ensembl:lncRNA
AAGCCAUAUACCCCAACCCUCACCCUUCCCUCUCCCUUGGUAUGCGCUCAAUUCAUUCAUUUCUUCUGUCACUGAGCCAAAGUAGUGGACCGUACUAUCUAGAAGUCAAGGUGGGGGGGGGGUUAGUACAGGAUUUACAAGCCUAAGGCUGGCGAACGCACACAGAGGAGGAGUUACAUACGCCACUGACAGCCCAACAUACUAUGUUCAUAUGUUAUGUGCUACCAUACAUAUAUUUCAAUUUUUGGGAAUCACACGCCAAAAAUCACAAACACAAUAGACACAGUUUAACAAUCGGACGGAGAUGUGCUGAGUGAGCGUUGCACUACAGUUUCUAUAGCUAUACCCAGGACUAGAUGGAGGUCUGGCAGCAGAGAGAGCCCACUGAGAGAGAGAGAGAGAGAGAGAGAGAGAGAGAGAGAGAGAGCCAGCCGGGCUUGAGUAACAGUGAAUCAGCGCUAUUGUAAUGCUACCACGCGGUGAGCUUAUGCAGACGCAGGCUGAGUGCCUGGAAACAGAGCAUUAAAAAAUGCCGGCUAGGCCCCAGACCAUGAGGAUACAAUAACAACAAUAAUAAUAAUAAUAGUUAUGCUUAAAAUAAGAAUGAUAUUAAUACAAAUCCUCCGUAAAUUAGACAAAGCACUAUCAUAGUCCUGACGAUCAUAAGACAAUAAUAAUAAACAUGAUUGAUAAUAAUCACAUUUAUAACUGAUUAUUAUGUUCAACGUUACAGCUUCAAAUACACUUCUAGCAGUCCUGUCCUUAAGCUUACACUACCCUCACACACACACACACACACACACACACACACACACACACACACACACACACACACACACACACACACACACACACACAGAAGCCUGGUGUUCCUGGCCCCUCUGUCCCCCCUCCCUGCCGUAUUUAAGAUCUGGGAGCAGUUUCUCAAUCCUAACAUGUAACAUAUGACAUCCAUCAGCACAACCAUCAUCCUCUGUAUCUGUCUAUGUCUAUGUCUCUCUCUCUCUCUCUCUCUCUCUCUCUCUCUCUCUCUCUCUCUCUCUCUCUCUCUCUCUCUCUCUCUCUCUCUCUCU